CGAGUGAUUUACAAGAAAAUGACGAUCUGUUCAACAAUAGCUGUAUGCUAAAGAGGGACAGAAGAGAGAAUCGAUGUAAGGAUGCACCAAAACAAAGAUAUAAUAGAAUGGACAAGAAGGAAGAGAAAGAGCACCAGUCUGUUUACAUAGCUCAUGAAAGUUAAAAUAGGCUCCUUAUCAAGAAGCAUGACAUACAAAUCGCAAGAUAACUAGUAUGUUGUGUAAGGAGGUUGACCAUGAUGAGUGUCUUCAUGUUAAAACCUUUUUUCCAUUCAGAAUUUUGUAACAAGUGGCAUGUAUGAUUAUC
rnacentral:lncRNA from 1 species